AAUAGAUACCCGGGUAGUCCACGCCGUAAACGAUGUCGACUUGGAGGUUGUGCCCUUGAGGCGUGGCUUCCGGAGCUAACGCGUUAAGUCGACCGCCUGGGGAGUACGGCCGCAAGGUUAAAACUCAAAUGAAUUGACGGGGGCCCGCACAAGCGGUGGAGCAUGUGGUUUAAUUCGAUGCAACGCGAAGAACCUUACCUACUCUUGACAUCCAGAGAACUUUCCAGAGAUGGAUUGGUGCCUUCGGGAACUCUGAGACAGGUGCUGCAUGGCUGUCGUCAGCUCGUGUUGUGAAAUGUUGGGUUAAGUCCCGCAACGAGCGCAACCCUUAUCCUUUGUUGCCAGCGGUUAGGCCGGGAACUCAAAGGAGACUGCCAGUGAUAAACUGGAGGAAGGUGGGGAUGACGUCAAGUCAUCAUGGCCCUUACGAGUAGGGCUACACACGUGCUACAAUGGCGCAUACAAAGAGAAGCGACCUCGCGAGAGCAAGCGGACCUCAUAAAGUGCGUCGUAGUCCGGAUUGGAGUCUGCAACG
rnacentral:rRNA from 1 species